AUGAUGUCAUAGUAGGGGAUUUCCAUCUAAGGGAAACAACUCGUGGUUUCGAGAAAAAUCUAGCUCGGUGAACGACAAAUAACUUUGUUGUUUACUACUUUGAAACCGUUCCAGGUUCUGGUUUAAAGUUAACAGAUCAAAAAAGGCUAUACACUUUCUUGGUGAAGCUGAUUCUACAAUAUUUGUGACAACUUCCGCAAACUUCCAAGGUACUUGGGGUUAUGAUUUCUUCACCUUACUACAGGUAUUCUGCAUACUUCUGUGGAUUGGUUUCUUUCAGUGUGGAACGGUAGUUUUUAGGCUUUGCCAUCUUGUAAAUUCUGUAAAUAUUAAUAAAAUUUGUCAAAUA